rnacentral:rRNA from 1 species
UACGGAGGAUGCGAGCGUUAUCCGGAUUUAUUGGGUUUGAAGGGUGCGUAGGCGGGCUUUUAAGUCAGCGGUAAAAAUUCGGGGCUCAACCCCGUCCGGCCGUUGAAACUGGGGGUCUUGAGUGGGCGAGAAGAAGGCGGAAUGCGUGGUGUAGCGGUGAAAUGCAUAGAUAUCACGCAGAACCCCGAUUGCGAAGGCAGCCUUCCGGCGCCCUACUGACGCUGAGGCACGAAAGUGCGGGGAUCGAACAGG